GACGGAGGGUGCUAGCGUUGUUCGGAAUGACUGGGCGUAAGGCGCGUAGGCGGCCGCUUGCGUCGGAUGUGAAAGCCCGGGGCUCAACCCCGGAACGGCAUCCGAUACGGGGCGGCCUCGAGACCGAGAGAGGUGAGUGGAAUACCCAGUGUAGAGGUGAAAUGCGUAGAUAUCUGGAGGAAUACCGGUGGCGAAGGCGGCAUCCUGGACCGGCAUUGACGCUGAGACCCGAAAGCAUGGGAGCAAACGGG
rnacentral:rRNA from 1 species